CUAUAGCUCAGCCGGAUAGAGCAACUGCCUUCUAAGCAGUAGGUCCUGGGUUCGAAUCCCCGU
rnacentral:tRNA from 1 species